rnacentral:rRNA from 1 species
GAUGAACGCUGGCGGCGUGCUUAACACAUGCAAGUCGAACGAGAAGUGAAGACGGAAACCUUCGGGCGGAAGGCUUUAUUUCGAGUGGCGGACGGGUGAGUAACGCGUGGGUAACCUGCCUCAUACAGGGGGAUAACAGUUGGAAACGACUGUUAAUACCGCAUAAGACCACAGCACCGCAUGGUGCGGGGGUAAACACUCCGGUGGUAUGAGAUGGACCCGCGUUCGAUUAGCCAGUUGGCGGGGUAACGGCCCACCAAAGCGACGAUCGAUAGCCGAUCUGAGAGGAUGACCGGCCACAUUGGGACUGAGACACGGCCCAAACUCCUACGGGAGGCAGCAGUGGGGAAUAUUGCACAAUGGGGGAAACCCUGAUGCAGCGACGCCGCGUGAGUGAAGAAGUAUUUCGGUAUGUAAAGCUCUAUCAGCAGGGAAGAAAAUGACGGUACCUGAGUAAGAAGCCCCGGCUAACUACGUG